UCUUCACCAUCCAAUGCUGAACUCUUCCUCGGUGGCUCGACCCCUACAUUGCCAAAUGCCUCCUCAAUUUCAUAUCAUAGAGGAGGGCGCUGAAUCAAAGAUUUGAUUCGGGCAUAAGACCAGUAGGGAAUGUGCUAGGGUGAGGGACUGCGGCAUGGAAGGGUUACCGAUUGUAUUAGGGUCAGGAACUGUGGCAGAGAAAAAUUGCUAGAUUGUCUUAGAAAAACAAUAUGUUAUGAUAUGCUCCAGCCAGGUGUGACUCCGUUUACCUCCCCUUUGUGCUUAUGAACUUUCUGUGAACUUCUAAGGAACAGCUAAUGAGAUGCUUUGUAUUUUUCAACACUGUUUUUGUAUAAAGGAUCAUACUGCACCCUUAAUCUCUGCCACAUGCUCCGAAGCUCCCAGAGGGGGCGAUAGGCACUGUGGUCAGCUGGCCAGCUUAAUAAAGGCUCUUAAAUUUAAA